rnacentral:rRNA from 1 species
AUGGCAGGUCUCGUCAUGCUAGAGAUGCUUCCGCGGGCAUGGUUUCUGUAUCUCUUCCCGCUCUUCCUCUUGUUUCUGCAUUAUUAUUGCUUCACUGUGAAUGGGAAGACAGGAAAAGGGCAGCAGCGAGAAAGCCGCCUUCCGCCUUCUCCACCGGCACUGCCCAUCAUCGGACACCUGCACCUCGUUGGCUCUCGCCCGCACGCCUCCCUCCGCGACCUCGCUGCAAGGCACGGCCGCGACGGCCUCAUGCUCCUCCGUCUCGGCGCCGUGCCGACGCUCGUCGUGUCGUCGCCGCGUGCCGCGGAGGCGGUACUGCGCACGCACGACCACAUCUUUGCGUCACGGCCCCGCUCCAUGGUCCCCGACAUCAUCUUGUAUGGCUCAUCCGACGUCGCCUUUGCGCCAUAUGGCGAGCACUGGCGGCAGGCAAAGAAGCUCCUCACGAACCACGUGUUGAGUGUUAAAAAGGUGGAGUCUCUCCGCACCGUCUCCAUGGAACAGGUGAGCAUGGUGAUGGCCAAGAUUAAUGAGGCCGCCGCAGUAGGAGGUGUGAUGGACAUGAGCAAGCUUCUCAAGUCAUUCAAAUGUGACAUUGCGUGCCGCAUCGUGUCGGGAGAAUACUUCCUAAAAGAAGGACGAAGCAAGUUGUUCCAGGAGCUCACUAGCGAAACAUCACAUCUGCUAGGAGGGUUCAACAUGGAGAAGUUCUACCCAACAUUGGCUAGGGUAGGAGUAGGGCUGCUUAAGAGGAACAUUAGUGCAAAGGCUGAGAGAGUGAAAAAUAGAUGGGAUGAUCUGCUGGACAAGGUGAUCGAUGAUCAUGAUAGCAAGGACAAGUCAAUGUUUGAUUACAACUGUGGCAAUUUCAUAGACAUUCUAUUAUCUAUUCAGAUGGAGUAUGGUCUCACGAGAGAGCACAUGAAAGCUCUACUAAUUGAUGUAUUUUUCGGUUCAAUAGAGACGAUGUCUAACACUCUGGAAUUCACAUUGGCUGAGAUCAUGAGGAGCCCCCGCCUGAUUGGGAAGCUACAAGACGAGGUAAGGAGUAUCAUACCCAAGGGACAAGAGCUUGUCAGCGAAGCUGACAUUAACAAGAUGGCAUACCUAAGAGCAGUCAUAAAGGAGUCACUCCGACUCCAUCCUGUUGCGCCUUUACUUGCUCCACACCUGGCUAUGGCUGACUGCAACAUUGAUGGGUACAUGGUUCCUGCUAAGACACAUGUCUUGAUCAAUGUAUGGGCCCUUGGUAGAGACUCUAGCUGUUGGGAGGACGCUGAAGAGUUCAUACCGGAAAGAUUUAUAGAAGAAGGAAGUGAUAUGGGUGUCAAUUUCAAGGGGAAUGAUUUCCAGCUCUUGCCAUUUGGGGCAGGACGCAGGAUGUGCCCUGGUAUAAACCUCGGGAUCGCGACCGUCGAGCUUAUGUUGGCAAACUUGAUGCACCAUUUCGACUGGGAACUCCCGCUUGGGGUUGAGAGAAAAGACAUCAAUAUGACAGAGGUGUUUGGGCUAACUGUGUGCCGGAUGGAGAAACUAUUGUUAGUUCCCAAGUCAUGCAUGUAG